GACCACAUACCACAACAGACCUGUUGUCCAGCUUGGAAAACAAGAGUUUGAAAAUUUUGGAAUCAGGCAUUGGUCUCCUGUGCCUUGGCCGUGUGGAAAGCAACAAACUUA